AAAUAAAAUAUUUGUGAAGUUUAUAUAGGCUCAAAAUUGGUUGAGCGUCUCUACCAGCUACCGUAAUAGCUGCCUAUAAAUUUCCGCAUGAAGGAU
rnacentral:ncRNA from 2 species